rnacentral:rRNA from 1 species
GACGUAGGGGGCCAGCGUUGUUCGGAAUUACUGGGUGUAAAGGGUUCGUAGGCGGUGUGGCAAGUCGGGGGUGAAAUCUCUGGGCUCAACUCAGAGACUGCUUCCGAAACUGCUGUGCUGGAGUGUGGGAGAGGCGCGUGGAAUUGCAGGUGUAGCGGUGAAAUGCGUAGAUAUCUGCAGGAACACCCGUGGCGAAAGCGGCGCGCUGGACCACUACUGACGCUGAGGAACGAAAGCUAGGGGAGCAAACAGG